AAGACCUUGCGCUUUGGGAGCGGCCGAUGUCUGAUUAGCUAGUUGGUGGGGUAAAGGCCUACCAAGGCUACGAUCAGUAGUUGGUCUGAGAGGACGACCAGCCACACUGGGACUGAGACACGGCCCAGACUCCUACGGGAGGCAGCAGUGGGGAAUUUUGGACAAUGGGCGCAAGCCUGAUCCAGCAAUGCCGCGUGAGUGAAGAAGGCCUUCGGGUUGUAAAGCUCUUUCAGUCGAGAAGAAAAAGCUGCAGUGAAUAACUGUAGUUCAUGACGGUAUCGACAGAAGAAGCACCGGCUAACUACGUGCCAGCAGCCGCGGUAAUACGUAGGGUGCGAGCGUUAAUCGGAAUUACUGGGCGUAAAGGGUGCGCAGGCGGCUUUGUAAGUCAGAUGUGAAAUCCCCGGGCUUAACCUGGGAAUU
rnacentral:rRNA from 1 species